rnacentral:rRNA from 1 species
AAUAUUUGAAAAUGGGGACAACCCUGAUCCAGCCAUGCCGCUUGUGUGAAGAAGGUCUUCGUAUUUUAAAGUACUUUAAGUUGGGGGGAUGGGCUUUAGGCUAAUAUUUUUAAGUUUUGACGUUACCAUCAGAAUAAGCACCGGUUAACCCGUUCCCAGCAGCCGCGGUAAUACAGAGGGUGCAAGUGUUAACCGGAAUUAUUGGGCGUAAAGCGCGCGUAGGUGGUUCAGUAAGAUGGGUGUGAAAUCCCCGGGCUUAACCUGGGAACUGCUUUCAUAACUGCUGAGCUAGAGUACGGUAGAGGGUAGUGGAAUUUACUGUGUAGCGGUGAAAUGCGUAGAUAUAGGAAGGAACACCAGUGGCGAAGGCGACUACCUGGACUGAUACUGACACUGAGGUGCGAAAGCGUGGGGAGCAAACA